rnacentral:rRNA from 1 species
GCUUUCAGCUAUAUCACUUGACAGCAUCGGUUCUCGUCCUAUCACCGAAGUUAAACAAAGUCGAGUCUAGUUAAUAAACAAACAGGUAAUUGCAUAUGGAACCUAGUUAUUGUACGUA